AAUGGGCGCAAGCCUGAUCCAGCCAUGCCGCGUGUGUGAAGAAGGCCUUCGGGUUGUAAAGCACUUUAAGUUGGGAGGAAGGUUUCUUGGCUAAUAUCCAAGGAAAUUGACGUUACCAACAGAAUAAGCACCGGCUAAUUCCGUGCCAGCAGCCGCGGUAAUACGGAAGGUGCGAGCGUUAAUCGGAAUUACUGGGCGUAAAGCGCACGUAGGCGGUUACUUAAGUCGGAUGUGAAAGCCCUGGGCUUAACCUGGGAAUUGCAUCCGAUACUGGGUGACUAGAGUACGGUAGAGGGGGGUGGAAUUCCAGGUGUAGCGGUGAAAUGCGUAGAGAUCUGGAGGAACACCGGUGGCGAAGGCGGCCCCCUGGACUGAUACUGACGCUGAGGUGCGAAAGCGUGGGGAGCAAA
rnacentral:rRNA from 1 species